CGAAAGAUUGAUUCAGUUACUUAUUAAGAUGAUAUAUACUAAAUAUAUUAAUAAAUAUUAAUAUAUAUAUAUAUAUAAAUUGAUUAAAAAUAAAGUCUAUAAAUAAUUAAAAUAAUGAUAUUAAUUACAUUCUUUAAUUGAAUGAUAUAAUAUUAAAAUAAUAUUAUAUUUUAAUAGUCCUAACCAAGAUUUGUGCCAGCAGCUGCGGUAAUACAAUGAGGGCUAGCGUUAAUCAUAAUGGUUUAAAGUAUCCGUAGAAUAAUAAUAAUAAUAUUAUUAGAGUUAAUAAAUUUAAUUAAAGAAUUAUGAUAGUAAAGAUGAAAUAAUAAUGAUAAUCAUAAGACUGGUAUGUGUGAAAAUAUUAAUUAAAUAUUAACUGACAUUGAGGGAUGAAAGCUAGAGUAGCAAUAUGGAUUCGAUACCCAAGUAGUUCUAGCUGUAAACUAUGAGCACCAUAAUUUGUUAAAUAAACAAAUUAUAAACGAAAGUGUAAGUGUUCCACCUGAAGAGUACUUUCGCAAGAAUGAAACUCAAGACAAUAGACGGUUACAGACUUAAGCAGUGGAGCAU
rnacentral:rRNA from 1 species